UGACUCAAUGUUAAUAGUAUGCCAUUAACCAAGAAUUAAGAUUCAUCUAAUUCUGUGCAUCUGGGGUCCUU
rnacentral:snoRNA from 1 species